AUUCCCCUAGUAACUGCGAGUGAAGCGGGAAAAGCUCAAAUUUAAAAUCUGGCGGUCUUUGGCCGUCCGAGUUGUAGUCUGGAGAAGUGCUUUCCGCGCUGGACCGUGUAUAAGUCUCUUGGAACAGAGCGUCAUAGAGGGUGAGAAUCCCGUCUUUGACACGGACUACCAGUGCUUUGUGAUGCGCUCUCAAAGAGUCGAGUUGUUUGGGAAUGCAGCUCAAAAUGGGUGGUGAAUUCCAUCUAAAGCUAAAUAUUGGCGAGAGACCGAUAGCGAACAAGUACCGUGAGGGAAAGAUGAAAAGCACUUUGGAAAGAGAGUUAAACAGUACGUGAAAUUGCUGAAAGGGAAACGCUUGAAGUCAGUCGCGUUGUCCGGAACUCAGCCUUGCUUUCGCUUGGUGCACUUUCCGGAUGACGGGUCAGCAUCGAUUUUGACCGUCGGAAAAGGGCUGGAGUAAUGUGGCACCUCCGGGUGUGUUAUAGACUCUGGUCGCAUACGACGGUUGGGAUCGAGGAACGCAGCGCGCCGCAAGGCAGGGGUUCGCCCACUUUCGCGCUUAGGAUGCUGGCAUAAUGGCUUUAAACGACCCGUCUUGAAACACGGACCAAGGAGUCUAACAUACCUGCGAGUGUUUGGGUGGAAAACCCGAGCGCGUAAUGAAAGUGAAAGUUGAGAUCCCUGUCGUGGGGAGCAUCGACGCCCGGACCUGACGUUCUCUGACGGAUCCGCGGUAGAGCAUGUAUGUUGGGACCCGAAAGAUGGUGAACUAUGCCUGAAUAGGGUGAAGCCAGAGGAAACUCUGGUGGAGGCUCGUAGCGAUUCUGACGUGCAAAUCGAUCGUCAAAUUUGGGUAUAGGGGCGAAAGAC
rnacentral:rRNA from 1 species